UGAUGAAGCUGAUGGGUGACAUAGAAACCCUGCAACUCGACCGAAGUCCUGUGUCUUGAGCAGAAGGCAGGCUACUGAUAGGGUGUUGGAAAAGAAAUGAUGCUAAAUACGAUUUAGACUCGACAAAAUUUGCUGUUUGUGUCCCAGAGAAUGGAACCCACAGACAGGGCCUCGCCGUGUUACACGGCUCCACACCAUUACAUUGCAGAGUGGCCGCCAGCAUCAACAGCAGGGCCAGAAGCAUCGGGCUAAAAAUAACCCAACAGAAAUAAACUCCCCUCGGCUGCCAGGCUCCUGAGGAACCAACUGCACAGGACUUGAGGGGAACAAAACCGAUCCUGCAGCCUUCCAAGUGACAGCAGCAGAAACAAAGAGGGUCUAUUUAAGUAAUAAUUGGUAUGCAACGUUGCAAAGAAAUAGUGGCUGAGUGUUUGACAACAUUACACAAGUUAAUGGACAUGGGAGCAACCACGGCAGUUCUGGUGUGAAAAAUCAACUCAGAGGUUGCUACCAGCAUCCCUGCAAAUAGCCAGGUCAAGUCCCAGAGCAGAUGGGACUUUACAGAAACACGUCAAGGUGCCUACCCUGAUCCACCUGGAGGACCACCUAUUUGAAAAACAAGGCUGGAUUAUCCCAAAUAACCGUGCAAUGCAAAGGAACACAGCUCCCAUUGCCUGUGGAGCGGGGGGACCCAGGAACGUGAUGGCAUCCUCGGGGCUGUCCUACCCUGGCACAACCACAGAGCAGAGACCAGCCUCCAGCACCCCCCAGAGCAGGUUCUGCUCCCGGCUGGAAUUUCAGGAUGGGAUUAAAACUCCCUAAACAUUCCUGAAGUUGGCAAUGCCACAAUGCAGCGGUACCGAUGACCUCCAUGAGGGGUUGAUGGCUCCACCAAAGUCAGUGCUAACAAUUCCAAGCCUUCCCCGUGGUCGCUGCAGGGCUCUGACAGCGGUUACAUGUCCACCCCUAAGGAUCUGCAUGAAUUCUCCAUAGACAACAUAUAUGUGAAACACCCAAAACCAUGAGUGGCAGUGAUGGGAACGGAGCCGAUGUGAUGACAUGUGUACCAUUGAGGGCAUCCUCUGCAGCACCACAGCUUUAGUGUUUGAAGGAAAAUACCACGCUUCCCCUCCUCAUGCAGGACAUGUAAUUACAGACCUCAGCCCAGCCAAAACAAACUCCAUCCCACCAGCAUUGAACUUCAGGACACACAGGUGCAAACCUCUCCAUCAGACCACUCUGGUACCACCCCACGUUUUUCCCCUCCAACUAUUCCAGCUGUAUUUCUUUUUAAUAACCCCAUGGAUCAUAUAACCCAGGCACUAAUAAAUCAUUACAGGGCAAGAAAACACCAACAACUCAGCCAGCAGUACCACCAAGAACUUCCCAUGCACACCACCGUGUCCCCCCCUCACCAGACCAGCUAAAACAAACCCAACAGACCAAAAUGAACCACAAAGCCUGUGACUAUCUCACCAUCUCAACACGGCACGUUCAGGCAGGGAGUCAAAUGUAGAGACUGGAGCAAACUGGACUCAGGCCCCUCUUGCCUUGAAGAUAAACAUGACAAAAUGGGAUUCCUGUUUCUCAACAGGUCUAGUACCUCAUUCUGAACGAGAAGUCUUCAUCUUUGUAAUCUCACCAUCAUGUUCCCCAGUGUGACAUCCCUCCAGCAUUACCACCUCAGAGAGGAGAAACACAAAGUAGUUUACAAACUGCAGGUGUUUAUUCCUGUAAAAACAAUUCCGGGUUCCUAAGAAAUCACCAGGGAUCACGGUGCAAGACAAGAGGAGCGCAGGCUCCUAAAGCAUCAUCACUUGUUGUAGGACAAACUAAAUAACAACUGAUUCUUCUGUGCUCUGGUAACAAAACCUGACCUUGACUUCACAGCAAGUGCUACCUGGUCCUGGCACUCUAAACCACCAGAGAUUCCGGUCUCCUCACCACAAUGG